AUUGAACGCUGGCGGCAUGCUUUACACAUGCAAGUCGAACGGUAACAGGUUAAGCUGACGAGUGGCGAACGGGUGAGUAAUGCAUCGGAACGUGCCCGGUCGUGGGGGAUAACGCAGCGAAAGCUGCGCUAAUACCGCAUACGAUCUAAGGAUGAAAGCGGGGGACCGUAAGGCCUCGCGCGAUCGGAGCGGCCGAUGUCAGAUUAGGGAGUUGGUGGGGUAAAGGCUCACCAAGCCAACGAUCUGUAGCUGGUUUGAGAGGACGACCAGCCACACUGGGACUGAGACACGGCCCAGACUCCUACGGGAGGCAGCAGUGGGGAAUUUUGGACAAUGGGCGAAAGCCUGAUCCAGCAAUGCCGCGUGCAGGAAGAAGGCCUUCGGGUUGUAAACUGCUUUUGUACGGAGCGAAAAGGUCUCCUCUAAUACAGGGGGCUCAUGACGGUACCGUAAGAAUAAGCACCGGCUAACUACGUGCCAGCCGCCGCCGUAA
rnacentral:rRNA from 1 species